rnacentral:ncRNA from 2 species
GGUUCGCACUCUGGAGAGCGGCAGCAUCGACUGCCCACCGAAGGGGCCCCAGACCGCGCAGCGUGUCCGCCACGCGCCGGCCUGCAAUCUCUCAGGUACCGAGGACAGAGGGGUAGCC